AAUAGUUUUAUGCCACAUCAGUACUCUUAUCCUGAAUUUCAGGAUUUUAUCCUGAAAAAAACAAAAUCCAAAUUAAAAUCCUGAAAUUCAGGAUAAGAAUACUGAUGUAGCAUAAAACUAUU
rnacentral:pre_miRNA from 1 species